UGAGGAACAUGACCUUCGGCGGGGGAUAGCCGGCCCAACGGCCGGGUAAUACCGCGUACGACCACAUGGGGACAUCCCCGGAUGGUGAAAGCAGCAAUGCGCCGAUGGAGUGCCUCGCGGCCUAUCAGCUAGUUGGUGGGGUAACGCUCACCAAGGCAACGACGGGUAGCUGGUCUGAGAGGAUGAUCAGCCACACGUGGGACUGAGACACGGCCCAGACUCCGUAGG
rnacentral:rRNA from 1 species